GUGGGGAAUUUUGGACAAUGGGCGCAAGCCUGAUCCAGCAAUGCCGCGUGCAGGAAGAAGGCCUUCGGGUUGUAAACUGCUUUUGUACGGAACGAAACGGUCCGGGUUAAUACCCUGGGCUAAUGACGGUACCGUAAGAAUAAGCACCGGCUAACUACGUGCCAGCAGCCGCGGUAAUACGUAGGGUGCAAGCGUUAAUCGGAAUUACUGGGCGUAAAGCGUGCGCAGGCGGUUUUGUAAGACAGGCGUGAAAUCCCCGGGCUAAACCUGGGAAUUGCGCUUGUGACUGCAAGGCUGGAGUGCGGCAGAGGGGGAUGGAAUUCCGCGUGUAGCAGUGAAAUGCGUAGAUAUGCGGAGGAACACCGAUGGCGAAGGCAAUCCCCUGGGCCUGCACUGACGCUCAUGCACGAAAGCGUGGGGAGCAAACAGGAUUAGAUACCCGUGUAGUCC
rnacentral:rRNA from 1 species